GUUUAAUUAAAGGCGUUUGUUAAACGUCACUUUUUUUUCAAAAUUAACGGCGUUUUUUAAACGUCGCAAUUGUUAUUAAUUAAAACGGUACCGUUUGGUGACUAGGAGACGUUUGAAAAGCGCCUCCAAAUCCUCUUCCCCUCAAACCCUAUCCCGUCUCUCCAAACCUUUAUUUUGAAAACCUAUUUUGAGCACCGCCGUCUACAUAUGAAGUUCGAAUCUCUCCCUCACUCUCUUUCUCUCAGGGGAUCAAAUCAAUAUGAAGCUGUUCUCUCUCGAUUCGGUGAUUCUUCUUUAGCUCGGUGAUUCGUCUUGUUGAGCACAGAGCGAUUGCGAUUUCGAAGUUCGAUUUUGAGCACCGUGAUUUGGAACUCUUCUUCAGAUCCGUGAUCUUCGUCUUCUUCGAUCAGAGUAAUUACACAAACAGAAAAUGGUAUAAAAGUACAUCAAAAUUAAUGAUCAGAUGGUUCUUAAAGCUUUCACAAAUUCCUGAAGUUACUGAGGUUCCAAGCUUCAGUGGGGAAGCACUGUCUUACUUGCAAGGAUUGAUUGAUGGAUUUACCAUAAGCGAUGCCUUGGAAGUUAAAAAUAUAGAGAAAGUGACAAACCAUGAUGUGAAAGCAGUGGAAUACUUCUUGAAACAGAAAUGCCAAUCACAUCCAGAGAUUGCGAAGGUUUGAACUUGUCCUCCAGUUUCUUCGAUACUAAAAUGACCAGCUUUAG